rnacentral:tRNA from 1 species
GCGGGAAUAGCUCAGCGGUAGAGCAUCAGCCUUCCAAGCUGAGGGUCGCGGGUUCGAAUCUCGUUUCCCGCU